rnacentral:rRNA from 1 species
AUGCUUUCAAUCUGCAGCCACCCCUUGAUCAUGUUCCAUACCCCGAAUGGUGAACCGACAUCGGAAGAGAAGGUGAUCCACUGUUUCCUGCUGACGCCGACAGAGGGGGCAAAGGCCACAGUUUGGCCAUCCACGUUUGGCCAAUCGGUCAGCGAUCCACACUCUGUUUUGGGCGGCCAACCAAGCGAAGAACUUCACUUUGGGAGGGGCCCAAACUUUCCAAAUAACAUGCUCCAGAGGCGAGCGCAUCAUGCCAUGAAAUUGCGCCUUGUAGGCAGAAGCCGCGGUGUAGAGUCCACUGUCAGUAUGCUUCCACACAAUCUCAUCCUCCGCAUCGUGUUGCAGUUGGAAGCCUUGAAUGCUAGACCAGAGCAGGAGGAAUUGGCUGAAAUGGUGAAUCGAGAAAUUGUGUGA